rnacentral:rRNA from 1 species
AUUGAACGCUAGCGGCAGGCCUAACACAUGCAAGUCGAACGAGUGGCGGACGGGUGAGUAAUGUCUGGGAAACUGCCUGAUGGCGGGGGAUAACUACUGGAAACGGUAGCUAAUACCGCAUACCAUCAGAUGUGCCCAGAUGGGAUUAGCUUGUUGGUGGGGUAACGGCUCACCAAGGCGACGAUCCCUAGCUGGUCUGAGAGGAUGACCAGCCACACUGGAACUGAGACACGGUCCAGACUCCUACGGGAGGCAGCAGUGGGGAAUAUUGCACAAUGGGCGAAAGCCUGAUGCAGCCAUGCCGCGUGUAUGAUGAAGGCCUUCGGGUUGUAAAGUACUUUUGGCGGGGAAGCGGUACCCGCAGAAGAAGCACCGGCUAACUCCGUGCCAGCAGCCGCGGUAAUUC